AGGAGAACAUCUUAUAAUCUUAGGGUGGACAUGACUUUUUUAAGUAAAAUGUAGUAUAAAAAUCCUCUAGGAGUUUCCUGGUGGCCUAGCAGGUUAAGGAUCCGCUGUUGUCACUGCUGUGUCAUGAGUUCGAUCCCUGGCCAGGAAACUUCCGAAUGUUACGGAGAGGACCUCAAAAUGCAAAGUCUUCUUAUGACAAAAGAUGCUGUGAACAAGAGCAAAAUAACAAUAAGAUCCUACUGUGCAGCAUGGGGAAUUAUAUCCAGUCUCUUGGGAUAGAACAUGAUGCAAGAUUGUGUGAGAUAAGGAAUGUGCAUAUAUGGGAGCUCCUGUUGUGGCUCAGUGGUUAACGAACCCGGCUAGCAUCCAUGAGGAUGCGGGUUCGAUCCCUGGCCUUCCUCAGUGGGUUAACGAUCUGGUGCUGCUGUGGCUGUGGUGUAGGCCGGCAGCUGUAGCUCUGAUUUAGCCCCUAGCCUGAGAACCUCCAUAUGCCGUGAGUGUGGCCCUAAAAGUCUAAAAGCCAAAAAAAAAAAGAAUGUGUAUAUAUGUAUGACUGGGUUGCUUGGCUAUACGGCAGAAAUGGACACAGCAUUGUAAACUGACUACACUUGAUUAAAAAAACAGACUGGGAGAAAAUAUUUGUACAUAAUGAAGCAAUAGGAAAACGAAUAAUUUUAGAAUGACUACAAAUGACCAAUACAUACCUGAGGAAUUGCAAAAAAUAACUGGAAACAAGGAAAAUGCAAAUUAUAUUUUAAGUAUAUAUAAUGUAUGUAUUAUAUAAGAAGCAUAAACUAUAUAACAUUUUAAGUAUUUAGGAUAUAAUUGUGUCUGGUUGCUCUCCAAAGGCCUCAAAGGCAAGACGAGGGGCGCUAAGUAUUCUGAUUCUGCUGGGGGACGCGUGAAGGGCACAGCUUCCUUCAGCAGUUCCGUCGAAAGAUAAAGUGUGAAAUCCCCUCUGCUAAAAUCUCGUUUCUACGUACCUCUCACAGAGAAAUCGUCUUACGUGUGUGUGUGCACGCCGAGGCCGAGACAGAGACAUUCACUCAGCACGGUUUUCAAAAAAGAAAACGCCGAAGCACCUCAAGGUCACUCGGCAGAGGGGCGUUAUUUACUUAACGCCCAGGAAGAGCGACUGCCGAUUUCACAUGAGACCAGGCUACACGUGGACUGGCGUGGCGCAGUGGGCCGGGGCUGCGCUAAGCCGCAACGCUCGGACCCGGUCCAAGAGCCCCGCGCUGACCUGCUGAGUGACUUCACCUUCUGGGCCUCGGUUUCCUCACCUGCACGUGGAAGGACCUGGACUCAUUUUCUCUCUACUCUCAAGUUCAGUCAGGAGGUGAGUCUGCAAGAAGUUUAAUGGGCUUUGAGAGCUGCUGAAGAUAAAAACUCUAUUUCUCUGCUUCCUUGUGUGUUCCGCAAAGAGAAACGGAAUCAUUUACAGAAAAGCAGCUGCAGACCUCCUCCUCACCCCGGAGGAGAGGGGACAUGACCCCCUCAGUCUAAGGCUGGACGUGACUGUUUCUCUCCCACUGUAGGAAGUCUCAGCUUCCACUUUCAGAAAACACCUGUUCACCAGAACAGUCGAUUGACCAAAAACACCAUUCACAUCUUUUUUUUUUACCAUUUCUUGGGCCGCUCCCGCGGUGUAUGGAGGUUCCCAGGCUAGGGGUCCAAUCGGAGCUAUAGUCUCCGGCCUACGCCAGAGCCACAGCAACUCGGGGUCCGAGCCAUGUCUGCGACGUACACCCCAGCUCACGGCAACGCCGGAUCCCUAACCCUCUGAGCAAGGGCAGGGAUCGAACCCGCAACCUCAUGGUUCCUAGUCGGAUUCGUUAACCACUGCGCCACGACGGGAACCCCAAUUCACAUCUUGAUUUAGGAUUUGUCAGGUACUUUCCCCCUGUCACUAGGAGGAGCCCCCAACUGUGUGUGUGUGGGGGGGUUGCCGUCACUGGCCUUACUUUGCUAUGAGGACAAGGGGCUGAGAAAAGCCGCCCCCUGCCCCCGAGGUUAGCCUAACUCAGCCUAACCUGUACAAGGUCGGCUAGUCCCGACCUCAUAUCUCAGUGGAUUUCGGGCCCGCCCUCUGCCUCCAGUAAACAGCUUAAAACUGUAAGGGUGAAACAGAGGCCUGACAUUUCCUGACGGGCACCACAGGAACCGUGCCCCAACAGCGCUGCUUCUCCGGGAGGAAAUGCAGGUGCCGCCGGGCUCAGUAGCAGGCAACAGGUCUUUCAUUCAGGUAGAAGCCCAGCAUGGAAGACCCCAGGCUCCGACUACCCUGCACCCCGGGCUCCUGUUCCCGCUCUGAUCCCGGACCAGGGAAGUUUCUCAGUCGUAAACUGAGCAGUGGGGACAGUGACAGGAUCACCGUGGCACCUGCAGGUCCCCUGGUGCAGGAUGGAGAUCCGAGGAUACGGGAGGAUAAAGCAAGCCCAGGAGGGAUGUGAGGUCUGAGACUCUGGUCCCGGGAGCACUAACAUCUUUAAGGUACGGUUGUUAUAGAGUUAACACGAGUUCUCUGGUGGUCGAAUGGCUAAGCAGUUGUCACUCCUGCGGCGAGAGUUCAAUCCCUGGCCCAGGAACUUCUGCCCGCUGCAGGCUCGGCAAAAAAAAGGAUUUAGCGUAAGUGUACAGACACCUAACCCAGUGCUAGCACACAGCAGGCAGUAUACAAUGGCUGUUAAACUGUCAGCAAGGCUGACUCACUUUAUUUAAAGUGGACUUGCUUAAACAUAAGCAUCUUCUUUUUUUUUUCUUGCUUUUUAGGGCCACACCCACGGCAUGUGGAGGUUCCCAGGCUAGGGGUUGAAUCGGAGCUGCAGCUGCCACAGCUGCCACAGCAACAUCAGAUCCUUAACCCACUGAGAGAGGCCAGUGACCAAACCUGUGUCCUCAUGGAUACUAGUCAGGUUCAUUACUGCUGAGCCACAGUGGGAACUCUCAGCAUUUUCUAAUUUAAGAGGAACACUGGUUUAACAAAGCAUUUAAUUGUACAAAUCAAGAUUUAACCUGUUACUCAGUUUGCAGUGACUUCUCAUCGAGGUUUUAAGCUGGGAAAGUAUCAACCCCAUUUUUUUAAAAAAAUAAAAUCAGGUUAGGAGUUCCCGUCGUGGGACAGUGGUUAACGAAUCCGACUAGGAACCAUGAGGUUGCGGGUUCGGUCCCUGCCCUUGCUCAGUGGGUUAAGGAUCCGGCGUUGCCCUGAGCUGUGGUGUAGGUCGCAGAUGCGGCUCGGAUCCCACAUUGCUGCGGCUCUGGUGUAGGCCGGCGGCUACAGCUCCGAUUCGACCCCUAGCCUGGGAACCUCCAUAUGCCGCAGGUGUGGCCCUAAACAGACCAAAACAACACCCAAAAACAAAAAACCCAAAGCAAGGAUUCUCUGGUGGCUUAGUGAUUAAGAGUUUGGCACUGUCGCUUCUGUGGCUCAGGUUCGAUCCCUGGCCCAGGAACUUCUGCAUUCCAGGGGUAUGGCCAAACACACACACACACACACACACACACACACUACAUUAGAUAGCUUUUCACUAAUCUGUUACCAAAAGAAUUCAACCUCAUUUUCAGCACUCCCCCAGGGUUACCUGCAAUUUUAUCUAAUCACAAUCUAAAGCCUAAUUCUUGAUGUUCUAAGUGCUUAUCUGUGAUUUUUUAUCCAGUGUCCACAGGAAUUAACAAAGGUGGUUGCAAAGACUGCCAAAUCCAACAAAGUCUGCCUCCUAAACUCCACAUUUUAUUUUAUUUUAUUUUAUUUUUUUUUGGUCUUUUUGUCUUUUUUUGUUGUUGUUGUUGUUGUUGUUGCUAUCUCUUGGGCCGCUUCCGUGGCAUAUGGAGGUUCCCAGGCUAGGGGUUGAAUCGGAGCUGUAGCCACCGGCCUACGCCAGAGCCACAGNNNNNNNNNNNNNNNNNNNNNNNNNNNNNNNNNNNNNNNNNNNNNNNNNNNNNNNNNNNNNNNNNNNNNNNNNNNNNNNNNNNNNNNNNNNNNNNNNNNNNNNNNNNNNNNNNNNNNNNNNNNNNNNNNNNNNNNNNNNNUUUUUUUUUUUUUUUUUGGUCUUUUUGUCUUUUUUUGUUGUUGUUGUUGUUGUUGCUAUAAACUCCACAUUUUAAAAGAAAGACGGCCACAGCCACCAGCCCUUCCUGGAAACAUCAUCAAGGGCAGGAAGCCGGACUCCAGGCCACUGUCACGCUCUUCACUUCAUUAACACUUAGAGCCACACUGUGGAGAGCACACAGCUGACCCCUGAACACCAUGGCGGGGUGCUGACCUGCCGGCAGUGGAAAGCCCAGGUACCGCUCAGAGUCAGCCCUUCCUACUGGCCAUUCCUCUGCAUCCGGGCUCAGCAUCUUUGGAUGCGCCGGCUGUGGAUGGCCCAGUGCUGUGUAUAGUCCUGACAUUUUUUUUUUUUUCCUUUUUCCAGGGAUGCACCUGUGGCAUAUGGAGGUUCCCAGGCUAGGGGUUGAGUCAGAGCUGUAGCUGCUGGCCUGCACCACAGCCACAGCAAUGCCAGAUCUGAGACGCGUCUGUGACCUACACCACAGCUCACGGCAACGGCGGAUCCUUAACCCACUGAGCAAGGCCAGGGAUUAACUCUUGACCUCCUAGUUGGAUAUGUUACUGCUAAGCCACAAUGGGAACUCCAACUAAGAUUCUUUUAAAUUACUUUCGUUGCUAUUAGAUUGUCGUCAACUACUUUAGUUAACUUAUUUUCAUAUAGUAAACUUGCUAUUUUUUGUCUAGGUAAAUCUUAUCAAAUGUCAACACUAUUCUUUUUUUUUUUUUUCUUUUCUUUUUAGGGCUAUACCCAUGGUAUAUGGAGGUUCCCAGGCUAGGGGUCCAAUCAGAGCUACAGCUGCCGGCCUACACCACGGCCACAGCCACACAGGAUCCAAGCCGUUUCUGCAAUCUACACCACAGCUCAUGGCAACGCCAGAUCCUUAACUCGCUGAGUGAGGCCAGGCAUCGAACCCGUGACCUCAUGGUUCCCACUCGGAUUCGUUUCUGCUGCGCCACGAUGUGAACUCCAGCACUACAGAUUCUUAAAUGUUUGGGAAUUUUUUUGGAAAGUAAAUGCCUCUUUAUAGGUAUUGAUUUGCAAAAAGUUCACAUUUUAAUGUAUGAGCAACUACUAUGUGCAUUUUUCUACCAAACAUCCCUCUAUACUGGAAAUUUAAGGUAAAAGUUAGGGACUUAUAUCUGGCACAAAAAAAGUUCUCAAUAAUUGUUUACAAAGAUAAACAAUCAGAAAACAAGUUGCUAUUUUCUGUAUAAUCAACACGCUCUCCAGAUCUGUAGCUGCUGCAGAGGUUACACGGUUCUUCCUCGGGGCGGCUUCCGAGACCUAACAGAC
rnacentral:lncRNA from 1 species